CUUUCAGCGGGAAUAAUCUGCAUAGAAGCUCCAUUGCCAAUGAGUGGGUUUUAAAACAACAGCAGUGCCCUUAAUUGAUACUCUUUUACCACUGUUUGAAAUGGUGUAAAUUCAGGAAUUUCUUGCCCCCAGGAAAUUCUGUGGUGAAUGGAGACUCAGUGAAUAUAGGACAAGAAACUGAAAAUUGAACAAACUGAGAAGAGAAGAGAUUCCACUUACACCUCUGAGAAGUCCUCCAGCAAAUCUAGGGAAGACCACACCUGACAUUUCCAAUAUUGCUAUAGUUAAAAAUCAAGCAGAGUACAAUGCAAACACCACCACAAAUAAACAAUUAACUUUCAACACCUUUUUCUAUAAAAAAAUAACAUAACAGGAGACAAAUACAUUUUUAAAAGAACCUUUGCAGGUGACCUUUAAACAAGCAUGAUCUGUGAUUUUUCCUGGCUGGUUGUACUUCACACUGGUUCUUGACUGGAUGGCUGGAGCAUUGUUAGUAAGGUGAAGAGAUUCUCUCAUCACUUGAACCACCCCUAAAAUAUGAAUUUAAGAGCUUCACUUUAGGCAAACAUUUUUGAAAAUGUUGGCCUGUUUUGUUUGAUUUGGAGCUUGCUGUGAGGGGCGGACCUCUUUUAAACAGCUGGCUCUGUAUGUUUAACAACAGUGAGAAGAAUUUUUUUUAAACCAAAUGUUGCUCUCUGUAAAUAUGGAUCAUUCCACUGACUCCAGAUUUACGCUCAUGUAAAUACAAUGCAAACAAGUAACUGUGCCUGCCAGUACUAUAGUUGCAAAUACGACUGGAUGAGCAAGAGGGUACAUUUGUGCACAAACAUACCUCUGUGUGUGGUGGCAUGCAUGAGAACACCUGUUUGCAGGGCACACUCAUACUCUGCACAUGCAACUGAAGUAGCCGGCAUUGAAUAUUCAAAAGUGCUCAUGGGAGCUAGGUGCCCACUUCCCACCGAAAGCUAACAGCACCUAACUCCUUUUUGAAAAUUCCAUCUUGUUCUGGGUUUUUGACUAAUAGGAAUGCGUCAGAGCAAUAAAUGCAUGCUGGGUGUUUGCACUGCCGGAAUCGCUUUUCCGCAAAACGGCGGACACUAGGAACAGGAAAACAAUUGCUGAUCUCAGUAUGAAAUGUUUUCUAUCCCUACAUUUUACCAUUCCUAUCUGUCCCAAUCAGAACUUUAUGACCAAAUGUUACCAGAUUCUUUCCAAUGAAAUAUUUAUGAAUUACAACUACCUUCAUUGCAGCUACAAAUUAUAUCAAGCUCUUCAACUUUCAGAAAAAUACGUGCUGGAUGGACAUACAAGGCAAAUAUGUAUUCAGACAACUUCUGUCUUUUUAAAUAUAUGUUAGGAAAGAUAUGGGAAUAAAUUGCAAAUGCUUUUGCAAAUCAUUGAUAUCUUUCAUUUGCAUACUGCUGUCCAGACGCAAGGCUAUUGUAGAGCUUCCUCUGCAGUGUGUCCCCUGAUGGUUAUGAUCUUGCAUGCAGGCCCCUGGGCAUUGCCUAAUAAAAAGCCAAGUUCCUGUUUGU